rnacentral:misc_RNA from 1 species
GAUGAAGAACGCAGCGAAAUGCGAUAAGUAAUGUGAAUUGCAGAAUUCAGUGAAUCAUCGAAUCUUUGAACGCACAUUGCGCCCUCUGGUAUUCCGGGGGGCAUGCCUGUUCGAGCGUCAUUAUAACCACUCAAGCUCUCGCUUGGUAUUGGGGUUCGCGGUUUCGCGGCUCCUAAAAUCAGUGGCGGUGCCUGUCGGCUCUACGCGUAGUAAUACUUCUCGCGAUUGAGUUCGAUAGGUCUACUUGCCAGUAACCCCCAAUUUUUACAGGUUGACCUCGGAUCAGGUAGGGAUACCCGCUGAACUUAAGCAUAUCAAUAAGCGGAGGA